AAGGACGCCACAUCCCUUACUUGCUUUAGUAUCGUCUUUAAAUUGAUGGUGUUCAUUUGUGCUGAUUCCGCUGUUGUAGAUUAUAUGUUUUGCUGUUUAGCUAGUGUUAUCAGACAAAUCUGAAAAUAAUAAGAAUAAUAAAAACAUUAUGCCAAAUUCUAAGCCAAUUGCUUAACGAAAAACGCUCAUAGCAAAAAUGCAAAAUGUCUUUGAAAUAGUGCAGUGAUUUUAACAAAACUCUUAAACUAAUAUAAAUUUUGACAAAAAAGAUUAAAAACAGACCAAAUUUUUUUUGUUUACACGAAGAAAACUCUGCAUUUUAUGCCAGCUGCUCUUUAUCUCAGCCAAAUAAAAAGAACAAGAAAAUAUUUAUCUAACAGUAUACCUGCUACAUAUUAUGCUAAAAGAUAUAUAAGCAGCGACAUCACUAUCAACAGCAUAAAGAUCAGCGGAAAGCACAACGGACGGCCAAAAUGUAUGAGUACUUAUUAAACAUAUAACUACUUUUUUUUGGCAAAACAGGCAAGUAAAAAAUUAUAGCUUGAGCAGCAAUUCUACGAACAGCGGCGCCAAAUCUUUUCAAAAACAAUCCUCUUUCGACCUACUCUCAAGGCCACAAGUUUUAAUUAAAUCACAAGUCAACAGCCGAAUAAUCUUCUAUGCACAGAUCAUUUACUUUGUAAAAACAACGAUUUUUAUUAAAUCGGCGAAGGACCUGCAACGAGCAAUGUAAGAGUUGGAAAUAAUAUAAUCGAAUGCUAUAUUCGUGGAUCUCGGCUUGGAGUGUGGUUUAUAUCACACAAACAACAUUUUAUCGACACCAUCAUACGUUUCUUCUCAUCGUCUAAUCGACUUGGUUUACAUAAAGACAAGGAAAGUAAUGAAAGUGAAAGGAAAAAAAAACAAAUAACUUGAAAGGAAUUACGAUAUAUAAUAUAAUAUAUAAGUAAUAUAGCAAUAACGAGUAGUGUCCUGUUAUUCUAAAUUAUUUAAGUAUUACAAAAAUAUUUGUUAUUUAUUUCUAUUUAACCACUGAUAUUCAGUGAGCCUCAACACUUCUUGGAACAACGUUUUAGCUUUCUCCAAAUAUCAACAUGAGUUUGACGGUAUUAUUUGAACUGAUUGAUUUAUUAAGUGAAAUCUGGUUGGAUGCUAUAAUGCAAGUUAAAAAUAGCUUUCCCAUCAAUUUUAGAUUUUGGCUCUGUGCUUGUUAACACAUUGGACUUUCCAAUCUUUCUUCCAACAAGUGCGCGAAAUGAUAGAUUUUCAUUGGCGGAGUAACUUUGCAUGCUAUGAAGUAUUUCAUCCUCUGAGAAGUGUUUCUUUUUGUGAGAAGUAUUUUUUUUUCUUAAGGCAGCCAUACACCACAUACAAGUGUUUUCGAUCGGUAUGUGUGCGGAUGAGAUUUACUUGUGUAUAGGAUUGGCGAAAAUGUUCGAUAUUUUGCGAUCGGUGUGCACCCAUGAUUGUUAUAUGUGGUGCCGUGUGUACACAGAAACACAUUUUAUUCGUGUCAUCGAACAGUAAACAUCGCGGAAGAACACGGCAAGCGUGAAUAUAUAGUAAAGUAAGCGAGAAGUGCCAGUUACUCUUGAAUGAAUGAACGUAAAAUGAAUUGGUAUGUCGUGUGUGGUGAAAAGAUUUCAUACCAAUCGAAAACAAUUGUAUGUCGUGUAUGGAGUAGUAGGGGAAUAUUAUUUCGGCACCUUAAAUGGAUUAGAGCGUUUAUACUUAUUACGCCUUUACAUGGCAGGAAACUUGUUAUCCCACUAAUUUUUUUCCUCAGUUUAACGUUACUUUAUCACCAGCCAUCUAACUUAGUAUUUAUAUAGUCAACACUAAUUAUUUUUUUUGCACUCCUGCCCUCUGAGAACACUCAACAGAAAUUCGGUAUAUGGUUACUGCAGACGAAACUUUUAGCUUUCGGUUGUUAUGCUCUCUAUAAUGCUAGCGUCAUUGUUAGUUGUUUGAGCGAUCCAUGUUUUCGCUUUUGUAUUUAGGUUUCCCCCUAUGAGUACCCUUUUGUGUAUUGUCUGAUGCUGGUGAAUAAUUUAUCAGCUUCGCUUCUGAUCUUUGUAGUUGUUGCGUAGAGCGGACAGUAUACGUUGAUAAUUGAUAUUUCUUUUAAAUUAAGUAUUGGGUUGAUUGAUUGUUUGCAAUAUUUGAUGCUAAUUUGAAGAUUGAGAAUUUAAUGGAAUUUUCAAUAUGAACUCGCACUGCGCCGGAUCCGUCAUGACUAUUUGCAAAAGUAUAGCUUUAGUUUUGAAGGCUUGUUUUUUGGUGCUUUUUAGUCAUGUUUCUGAUAGAAUAGCAAUAUCUGUAUCAUUGUUGUGCAUAAAAAUUUCUAAUAGUUCCUUAUAUCCUUGCUUCCUUAUUAUAACAUUUAUAUUGUUGCUAAUUAAUUUUCAAUAAUCCUGCAUUGACUGUCAUUUGUUGUAAUGUAUUUUGCAUAACUACUAAUGCUUCGUAUAAAUAUUUAUUAUUAUUAUCUGUGGUGCCUUGCGUUAAGCAAUUGCAAUAGUUUGAUUUAUUUUCAUUGUGCAAUCGUCUUGUUUUUGUACGAAUCUUUCCAAGCUGGUUAGGUAGGCCAAGACAUAUUUUGAUUAAAUCACCAAGAAGUCGAUGCAACAACGUAACGAAACGCAUGAACUUCGAAAUGUCUGAUCUGCAUUCUCGUCGUAGUUUAAGAUCUCAAGUCUGUUGCCAAAAAUACUGCUACAAUUUUGCCUUUUGCUUUCAUUGGGGUUAGGUUAUCCAAAGUCAUGACAAGCUUAUGUUAAGAAUACAACUAAAUGCAUGUGUCUCGAAAUUCAUUAAUUUAUACUAAAUACACAAUUUAUAUUAACCACGGAACACUAUUCACAUCAAGUAAAGUUAGGUGAGAAUCUUUCUGUUUUUAUUAAUUACGCUUGUACCUGGACAUUGAAUGCUGACAACAGUAUUGUCUUUAGCCAGGUAAAACUCAGGGUCGUUCCUAUAAAAACACGCGUCUGCAGCGGAGCUAUUGGAGUUUUAGUCACCUCUAACCCGCAGUCGUUGCUUGAAUAUUUAUAAAAUAACUCCCCUCCUCCUUUGUAUUAAAAUGUCGUUGUGUGAAUGGAAUGUCCAACUAGCACUGCUGAUUGACGUUUAUGAGUUGAUUCGAUCUUGUUUCCUCCGUAUUGUUGCAUUCACCUAAAGAUAAAUCAUGCUUUCAUUGGUGAAAAAUGAAAGCAUUUAGUGACUUCGAAGCAAUACUUUACCCUUGAUUGUGGAAUGGCCAUCGCAUUGGCGGAAGCUAAAGUUAAGAAACUCCUUCAUUUCCUUUGAUAUUCAACUCCUCUAAUCGCCUCAUAAAUUUGAAGCGAUCGUUCUUCAAAAAUUCUGACAAUUUCGCCCCUUCUAUUUUUAUUUAAUGAAAAAAAUUCGUAAGGUCGAUUACAUAAACUUGGUUUCCUCGAACAAAUGAUCGAUCAAUAGAUAAUGAGGCUAAAUUCAAAAUCUGUAUUGUAUAAUUAUUCAUCGAAUAUACUACUAACUGAUUGAGCUAUCCACAAGACAGCACACGCUAAAUGCAUGUGUCUCGAAGUUCAUUAAUUUAUACUAAAUGCACAAUUUAUAUUAACCACGGAACACUAUUCACAUCAGCUAAUAUUAGGUGAGAAUCCUUCUGUUUUUAUUAAAUACGCCUGUACCUGGACAUUGAAUGCUGACAACGGUGUUGUCUUUAGCCAGAUAAAACUCAGGGUCGUUCAUACAAAUCCACCCGUCUGCUGCGGUGCUAUUGGAGUUUUAGUCACCUCUAUCCCCCAGUCGUUGCUUGAAUAUUUAUAAAAUAACUCCCCUCCUCCUUUGUAUUCAAAUGUCGUUGUGUGAAUGGAAGUUCAACUAGCCCUGCUGAUUGACGUUUAUGAGUUGAUUCGAUCUUGUUUCAUUCAUUUCAUUGGUGAAAAAUGAAAGCAUUUAGUGACUUCGAAGCAAUACUUUACCCUUGAUUGUGGAAUGGCCAUCGCAUUGGCGGAAGCUAAAGUUAAGAAACUCCUUCCUUUUCCUUUGAUAUUGAACUCAUCUAAUCACCUCAUAAAUUUGAAGCGAUCGUUCUUCAAAAAUUCUGACAAUUUCGCCCCUUUUAUUUUUAUUUAAUGAAAUAUGCCAGCGUUUAACGAACAAGCCGCAGCGCCUGUAAUAAAGAAAAUAAAAUGUCUUUAUUCUCGAAGUUUCGAAAGUGAUCUACUUACGUACCUCGUGGAAAAUCCAAUUCAAUAUUUAAGAUGACAGCAGUCAAAAUAUAUCCACACAUGUCGGCAAACAAUGUUGCCUACAAACAUUAAAAUUUUUGUACGCAAACCUUGACCUCGGUACAUAACAAGGUGUUCAGACGCAACUAAAGUGGCGUAAACUUAUAUCGUUGUAUGAAGUUAAGACAGCUCAAAUACAUGCAUUUGCUUAAUUAUAUAAAUUAUCUUUUCUACUCAAUAAUUAAAACAUUUUCAUUCUGCGACUGAACUGCCAGUGGUGUGUGUAGCUCACAUCACUAGAAAGUUCAAUAUGAUCCCAUAAGGAAAUUUUUUUUUAAGAGAACAAUAAUAAUAUUAGGUUUGUUUCUGAUGCUUUCAAGUAAGAUAAGCAUAACCGCACUCAGGCUUAUUACAAUCUGUUUUCAAAAGAAUAUCGCAUCACAUUAGUGCACUUGUUGACAACUAGAACAUAACACUAAGAAGUUACGUUAAAUGCUCUCGAGAACGAACAUUCGAUUCAGGGCUUUUAGAGAUUGCAAUCAUUACAUGCUUUUAUUUUACUCUCGAUAACAUUACUUAUUCUCAAUAUUAGUUUAAAGAAAUAUAUUUUCACUAUGCCAAAGUGCAUGGUCUUUAUUUAUAAUCUUUAGACUAACUGGUUUACAUUAAUCUUAGUGCUCUUAUACUAUUGAGCUGUACUAAACAGUUCUCUGUUUACUAACAGAUAAAGCUAUUCGUUUUUACUGUUAUAUUUGGGUUUGCUGUAUAUGAUAGAGCAUGUCAAAACAAGUUCUUUUGUUUUGAUGUUGUUUACAUGCAAACGCUUAUCAUAGUGUAUGAGACCUGAAACGAGGGUAGGUCGUUAACUCAUGCCAAUUAUCGAAGCACGCCAAAUAGUCACGUUCUAGUAUAGCCUUCACAGAGCGCGGCGAUUCACUAUUAACACGCAUCCGUCCUUAAGAAAAAAAACUUCAAUUUCUCCUGCAUUGGGCUCAAAUUCCCUGCCUUCGUCGUCUGUUUGCAGCAAAUCUCUACAAUAUUCCUCUUCGUUUUCGUCUCCUCUCCACAUAAUACUCAUGUUUUUCUGAUUUUUAUUGUAGUUUUAUAAUUUACGGAAUACACUGUUAUCUAUCUCUUUCAUACACAAAAUUGAAGAAUGGAACCACCGAAAACCAGUUUUACUAUCCUUAGCAACAUCACAUCUAGCGUUGUGUCAAAUUGAAAAAGACAGAUUAAUUACAUUUCGUGUUGCCACGCCUCCAAGCAUCCUAGAUAAAAAACUCUUUUUGAUUUAUAAUUUUCGUAAAAAUUGGUUCAAUGAGCCAAAUUUCUAUUUAAAUAAUUUUGCAACUAAUGAACGAAAAAUCGAAAAAUCGAUAUGAAAAAUAUGUCAAAUUGACCCGAAGGACGGAUGCGUGUUAAUCUCCUCAAUCGACUCAAAACGGCGUCCUCGAAGUGGUCUCGUGAGUUUUUGGAAGAGCCAGAAGUCACAUGAUGCCAAGUCUGGCGAAUGCGGUGGAGUUUUCUGCGAAAUGGUCACGAAAUAUUAUAUAAGUGCUGUGUGCAUUAUCGUGAUGCAAAAGCCACGAAGGUCGUUUUAGUCGUUUAGUAAACACAAGCGUAACUAAAAUGCCAAUGAUGACAUUAACAUGAUUUCAUAGAUGUCAA
rnacentral:misc_RNA from 1 species